ACCUGUGACCGCUAUCUCAGGGCGCCAAGCCUGGCCUGGCCUGAGACUGCAGAGAACUCCUGUUGCCACCAGAGGGCGCGCCAACACGACAGACGUCAGCAAAGCCCGCCUUAACGCCAAGAAGAGGGGAAACUAACGCCUGUUGCCAAUACAUUUCCUUUUUUAACUGAAAUGUAGUUGAUACACAAUACUGUGGUAUUUCAGGAGGACCUCAGUCUCCGCGCGCCAAGCCAGGACUCAUGGAAAACGGCAGAGGAUGUGUUAGACCACCAGAGGGCGCUCCGGCACCGCAGGAGCGAGGAAAGCCAGUCUUGCAGCGGAAGUGAAACCGAUCAAGUGUUGCCUGUAAUCAGAUGGUAAAGCGUCUGCGGGAGACCCGGGUUCAGUCCCUGGGUUGGGAAGCUCUCCUGGAGAAGGAAAUUGCAACCCAUUCCAGUACUCUUGCCUGGAAAAUCCCAUGGACGAAGGAGCCUGCAUCAGGGUCUUUUCCAAUGACUCAGCUCUUCGCAUCAGGGGGCCAAAGUAUUAGAACUCCGUGGUACUUGGAGCAGUCUCAAGGCAGGUGGCUCAGUGGUGAAGAAUCCGCCUGCCAAUGCAGGAGACAUGGGUUUGAUCCCUGGAUCGGAAAGAUCCCCUGGAGGAGGAAAUGGCAUCCCAUUCCAGUAUUCCGGCCUGGAGAAUCCCAUGGACAGAGAACCCUGGUGGGCUACAGUCCAUGGGGUCAAAAAGAGUCGGACACAACUUAGAGACUAAACAGCAACAAAAUCUCCUUAGGCUGCCUCACCUGUCCCCUCCCACGGAAACCACAGUAAGGACUCUGCCCCCUCAUCAUGUCCUCACUCCUGUCUGCCUCCUGGCUGAGCUGGUGCUGCCCUGGGGCAUGGUGGGCUCCCCCUUCUUGGGAUCUGAGAAUGGAACCCUGCUGUUUUCACUGCUCGCAUUUCUGACACCAAACAUGUGUUGCUGUUUUCCCACACCAACCACCAGUUCUCCGAUCCUCCAGACCCCUAAUGAGUGCCCCCAGGCACCCAUCAUCUUACCAUCAUUAACAUACAGAAAGGCAUUCUCAGGACUCGAGAUUCCAGGGUUUUCUGAGCUAUCUUGGAUGAAGACCAAAUAUUGAAACAAAUGAUGCUCUUCUCACUUCCGUCACUCAGGAAAUGACAAGGGUUUCAGAAACUCUGUCAGGAACUGGGGACAAAGAUCAAAUACAUAUUUCUUACUGCAUAAUAAACAUACUAUAAUAAUAAAC
ensembl:lncRNA